rnacentral:rRNA from 1 species
UACGAAGGGGGCUAGCGUUGUUCGGAAUCACUGGGCGUAAAGCGCUUGUAGGCGGACUGUUAAGUCGGGGGUGAAAUCCUGAGGCUCAACCUCAGAAUUGCCUUCGAUACUGGCAGUCUUGGAGUCCGGGAGAGGUGAGUGGAACUCCUAGUGUAGAGGUGAAAUUCGUAGAUAUUAGGAAGAACACCAGUGGCGAAGGCGGCUCACUGGCCCGGUACUGACGCUGAUAAGCGAAAGCGUGGGGAGCAAACAGGAUUAGAUACCCUGGUAGUCCACGCCGUAAACGAUGGAAGCUAGCCGUCGGACAGCUUGCUGUUCGGUGGCGCAGCUAACGCUUUAAGCUUCCCGCCUGGGGAGUACGGUCGCAAGAUUAAA